CAAUUCACGUAAAAUAAACAUGCACACAACAAAUCAGUUGACACCAAAACCGAAACUGACCACAAUCCAAUUUACGGUCAAUUUUAGCUCUAGCCACUAUGGCUUUUUGGCGCGAUUUCGGCUAACAUUCUUUCGGUUAGCCCCGUCGACUCCGUGCAACGCUCCGUGCCUAUGCCGUACGUCCGUGGUCGUCGUUUCCGUCGUCGACGUCCCCAGCAAGUGCUUACGGCCGUCGUCGGGGUCUCUUCUGCCCAACGAGCAGCUUGUUCUCAUCGCUCGUGUCCCAGGUCCCUGUUGCCUGCGGCACGACCUACUGUCGUGGUCUGCGGUCUGGCCAAGUUAGGCCUAACUUGUCAUUGGCCGCCGUUCUUUGCUACCUGACCCGGCUGAAUACGGGUAGUCCGUCCAAUAACUGACCUGGACCGGGAACUGCUGCACCGGGAACUGCUGUGAUGAGGUGCGGCGAGUCCGGGCAGCCACACUCGGGUCACCCGACGCCGAUGGCCGCUUUCAUGCCAGAUAUCUCGAGAACAGUUGUGGGUGCCUGCUGCUUUCGUCGCGGUUGCGACCUUCUCAGUCCAGAGCUCUGCAGAACUCUACCGUCUUUUCAUCUGUGGUUUUCUACCUCGGGUCGCGUGCUACGGGCCCUUCUAUGGCGUAUCGCGUGCGUGGACGUGGCUGGGGCGCACACCAUCAGGCUACGCAGGUCUUCCAAGAUGGCGCAUGGACUGUGCACCAGCAUGGACUUGAAACAGCGCUGUUGAGAGACAACAGUCAUUUUUCAUUUUACGGUGUUGCUGCAUGGACAAGCCUUGAAGAAAUGUGACAGCAAAGGGCGGCGAUGAAGAUCGGUCAUCUUUCCAGUGGCACCGACAAAGAGGGCAGACAACAGGCUCUCCGUUGCGACUACAUUGCAGGACCCCUGUGAAGAGAAGGGAAGAAAAAAAAAAAAAGGAUAAGAAAGUAGUACUCAAGACUACAAACUUAUGCUGAAUUAAAAGUUAGUGGCAAGUUUUC